GACAGAGAGAGACAGAGCAUGAACGGGGGAGGGGCAGAGAGAGCGGGAGACACAGAAUCGGAAGCAGGCUCCAGACUCUGAGCCGUCAGCCCAGAGCCCGACGCGGGGCUCGAACUCGCGGACCGCGAGAUCGUGACCUGAGCCGAAGUCGGCCGCUUAACCGACUGAGCCACCCAGGCGCCCCUACUCUCGAUUUCUUAAGGAAAGCAGCCAUGCAGGACUGAGUCGGGCCAAUGAAGCCGUAACCAAAUCAUCUGGUUUAUCUGCCUGGAGCGAGACUGGGCUCUUUGCAGCAAUGCUGUUCCCCAGAGUUUUCUGGUUUGGCGUCAAGCCCCUGGGACAAAGCCUCACAGGGAAGCAGACCGUGCAAUUGGGCAGAGGACAGCAACCCCCCCGCCCCCACCUUGUUUUUUUCAAUGUAGUGGCAUCUGUGGUUCGUGUCAAUUCUGAUAACGCUCAAGCCAUCCCACCCUCCAGCCAAACAUUAACAAGGAGAUAAGGUGAGAAGUCCAUAUUAUUUUCAUUUUUAAACACAUUGAAAAUUUUCAGAAAUGCCACGUAAGCUAUGGCGGAAUCCCCACCAUCCCUAAUACUUCACCGGAUUCAGUGUUCAACCUUCAGUGGAAAAGAGCAACGCAUCCGGAGCCCAGUGGUAGUCCCGGCGCUGGUGCUAACCAGCUGUGCGAGGGGGAGCAGCUCCCCACACUCUGCUGUCCCCUCCCCAUGACCAUAAUGCAAGCGUUUUCCAGCUAACUCGUGGAGCAGCCACUGUAAGAACCAACGGAAAACAUGAAAGCAUUUUAGAAAUCUACAACGCAAGGUAUUUAUCACAGCCGGCCUGGUUUAUGUGAAUUGCCUGAGAAGACCCAGAAGGGAGGGGAGAGACGGGUUUUAUUCAGCUAGCUGCCCUCAUCGUCCUCCUGAGCAGACAUAAGGCUAAUUCUUCUCCGUCCACGCAAGCCGAUCGGCACUUACGAACCGCCUGGCUCUUGCUCCAGCUCCUAAGUACCUCCAGGGAAGAAGAUUCUAUCCCACCUAGGAAAGAACCGCCUGGAAGGCAGACAAAAGAAAACAAUGUUUCACAGCAAGGACUGGAGCCCUGAAAAGUCUCUCGCCACCGGCCCAGCAAGGGUAGGGGUCCACAGUGCUCUGUUUUCCAGAAUCUUCCUUUGUAAGACUUGAGAAGGCUCUAAUGGCACUCAGCACAAAAGAUUCAGGGAACAAAAGGGCUGCUGUCCAUAAGGGGGGCCAUUUUGAAUUUGAGGAGAAAAUGGGAAGGGGCAGGCAUGGAAACUGCCACCAUCAGAGUCCACGUUGGCUUAUAUACCAAGGCAGAAACAGGACUUCUGAAGGUCACCGCUGGCUUCUAAUCACUGCUGUAGUAAGGCUUUCCUUGUGGCUGUUGUAUGUGAGGCACAUUGCAACUUGGACUGGCCACGUUUCACCUGCCCAGUAGCCACAGGUGGCUCAUGGUCAGCUUACUGGACUUUGCAACUCUGGAUCCUUGCUACUCCAAGGGUGGCCUGCUACCCAGCCACCCCUGUACCGUCUGGUGGUUCACUAGAAAUGCGGAAUCUCAAGCCCUGAAUCAGAAUCUGCAUUUCAGCCAGACCCCCAGGUGGUCUACGUACGUAUUAAAGUUUGAGCAGCACUAUUGGCUGAAGGCAAACUGGGAGCUUGCAGAAAGCAGAAAGGAAUGCUCUCCUCUUACCUUUCCUUCUUUGUGCGUCUUCCUCCCUCUGGCUUUCCAGAAGGUGCCAGCCCUGGCUCCAUUUGAGGCUCCUCUAGAGAGCCUGAAAAAUAUGAUACCUGGACUCAGCUUCAGAGAUCUUGAUUUAAUCGGUCCUGGGAGGAGCCCGGGCAACAGGUGUUGUUCAAGAAGUUCCACAGGUGACAAUAACGUACACCUGGGCAGAGAGUCACAGGCUAGCCCAACACCCAACGCUGUAGCCUCAUUCGGUCCUGCUGUGCGACGGGGUGAAUACACCUGAACUCACAUCCUAGAGGGCUUUGGAGUAAGACAGGUCGAGCAAAGCAGCUCACGUAAGCAGUCACAGCUCUGUAAAAUUGCACAAAUCCUCCUAAUUGUCCCACAGACUCCUAGUAAUCGACGCCAUACGUGAAAAUAGUAUCCCUCGGAGCAGCUAAGGCAUUUUUAAUUUGGCGGCUGCUGUGCAUUCCUAGCUCAGCUGAUUCCCCUGGUGUGAUGAAAUAUGGAGGGAAUAUACAACGCAUACAUUUAUUAAAUAACUAAUUGUCCUAAUAAAAGUACCCCUGUUCAACAUAUGGAUAUUGUUGGUCCUUUUCAGGAAACGGUUGUCUAUUAAUAAAUAAACAGAUAGUUACUGACCCCCUCCUGCACCAGACCUAGCGGAACUGCAAAAAUGUUUCCACAUGACACAGUCUACCUUCAAGGACGUCCUCACCUCCUGGGGACUGACAAGGGUCUGCAGUUCAGGACAGUCAAGUCGUAUCUGUCCUUCGAGUGCCUCGAUCCGCCAAAAGUGGAGAUCAAAUCUAAAAUCUUCGUUA